rnacentral:misc_RNA from 1 species
CGCCAAUCUCACCUUCGCUCCGACAUCUCUCUCUGGCCUGAGGGUUUCUCUGCAAAGCUCUGAUUUCAGUUCAAAACCCAUCUCUCAUUUCCCCAAAAUGACCUCCGCAAGCCCUCUACAGAUCGCCGACGACGAUGACGGGUUCGACUGGGAGGCAGCUGUGAAAGAAAUCGAUGUGGCAUGUCAAAGCGCAAACCCCUUAACUUCACUCCCCAACUAUCCAUCUUCUUCCCAUUUUGUUCCUCUUCAGAAUAAUUGUAAUUAUGUGUCUUCUUCUAAUAAGAUAUUGAGAAAGCCCGGGGCUUAUAAGCAAUCUACCCUCCAUAGUUUUAUUGGGAAGGGUGUGGGUCUCGAGCAUCCACAUGAAAAUCCAGUGGUUGAUGAUCCUGAUCAGCAGGUUGCUGUUGAUGGUGAAGAUGAGAGGGUAAGCUGCGUUGGGAUUGAUGUUGAGGCUGCUAAAACUUGGAUAUAUCCAGUUAAUGUCCCACUUCGUGAAUAUCAGUUGGCUAUAACCAAGACAGCAUUAUUUUCAAAUACAUUGGUGGCAUUGCCAACAGGGCUUGGAAAGACACUUAUUGCUGCAGUUGUAAUGUAUAACUAUUUCAGAUGGUUUCCAGAUGGGAAAAUAGUAUUUGCUGCACCAUCUCGACCACUUGUAAUGCAACAAAUAGAAGCAUGCCAUAAUAUUGUGGGAAUACCACAAGAAUGGACAAUUGAUAUGACAGGUCAGCUAAGUCCUACAAAAAGGGCAUGCUUUUGGAAAACUAAACGGGUGUUCUUUGUUACUCCACAAGUUCUGGAGAAGGAUAUUCAAGCUGGUGAUGGUCUAAGUUAUGCCUUAAUAAACCUACAAAAAGCAAAAGGGUUAUGCCUUAUUACUUAUGCGGAAAAUUUUGUGAAUGUUAAAUGAUUGUUGUAUGUGAAAAAUUACAUUCUGUGGCUUUCAUUUAUCUGUGCAACAUUCUUCAGUUAUGUUCCACCACUGAAUUUUUCUCAUUGAGAAAAUUAUUGCAGGCACUUGUUUGGUAAAAUACCUAGUAUGUUUGGUUAUUGAUGAAGCUCAUCGUGCAUUAGGAAAUUAUUCUUACUGUGUAGCAGUUCGCGAGUUGAUGACAGUACCACUGCAGCUAAGAAUAUUGGCUUUGACUGCGACACCAGGAUCAAAGCAGCAAGCCAUCCAGAAUAUUAUUAGUAACUUACAUAUAUCAACUCUUGAAUAUCGUGAUGAAAAUGAUCCUGAUGUAAGCCCAUAUGUUCAUAACAGAAAGAUUGAAUUGCUUGAGGUUGCACUGGGAAAAGAUGCUGUUGAUAUAAAUAAACAGUUACUGGAGGUGAUACGUCCAUAUGCGGCUAGGCUUUCUGCAGUUGGACUUCUCCAAAAUCGAGACUAUAAAACUUUCAGCCCCCCAGAUUUACUUAAUUCAAGGGAUAAAUUUCGCCGAGCACCUCCACCAGAACUUCCCCAGGGCAAAUAUGGAGAAAUUGAAGCUUAUUUUGGAGGUCUUAUUACUCUUUAUCACAUUCGUAAGCUACUUUCCAGUCAUGGAAUAAGGCCAGCAUAUGAGAUGCUGGAAGAAAAGUUGAAACAAGGGCCAUUUGCAAGACUGAUGACUAAAAAUGAAGACAUUAGAAAAGUAAAACUUUCAAUGCAGCAAAGCUUGUCUCAUGGUGCCCCUAGUCCCAAAUUGUCAAAAAUGUUGGAAGUUCUGGUGGACCAUUUCAAAACAAAUGAUCCACAGAACUCAAGGGUAAUAAUUUUCUCCAAUUUUAGAGGAAGUGUAAGGGAUAUAAUGGAUGCACUGUCUAACAUUGGGGAUUUAGUUAAAGCAACAGAAUUUAUUGGUCAAAGCACAGGAAAAGCAUUGAAAGGCCAGUCACAAAAAGUUCAACAGGCUGUUUUGGAGAAAUUUCGAGCUGGCAAAUACAAUGUUAUUGUUGCCACGUCAAUUGGUGAAGAAGGCCUGGAUAUCAUGGAAGUGGAUCUUGUAAUAUGUUUCGAUGCUAAUGUGUCACCACUAAGAAUGAUCCAGCGUAUGGGGAGAACUGGAAGGAAGCAUGAUGGACGAGUUAAUAUCCUUUUGUCAUUUGGUUAAUGCAUUUUACGAAGUAGGUUGUUGAUAGAUCACCAUAUUUCAUUCCUGAAGACUCUUUAAGUUGUUUAACUUUGUAAUUUCUUAGUGCUUCUUUGCCAAGUUGUACCUUGACAAGGUUUUACUAGUUUUAGCUUGUGAAGGGUCUGAAUUGAAGGGUUAUAUGCGAAAACAAGCAAACAGCAGGGCCAUUAGGAAACACAUGCAUAAUGGGGGGAUAAAUAGCUUUGAUUUCCAUUCUAGCCCAAGGAUGAUUCCCCAUGUUUUUAAACCAGAAGUCCAAUUUGUCAAGCUAUCAAUUGAACAAUACAUUCCUCGUGGAAAGAAAGUGAAAGAUGAUAGUGCUAUCCAGACACCCAUGUUCAGAGCCAAAUUAAAUGCUGAUGAAGUUGCUUUAAUUGCCAAGUACUUUGAGCCCACCAGUGAAAAAUCUUGGAGACCAUCUCUUAUUGCCUUUCCACAUUUCCAGGCAUUUCCCUCAAGAGUGCAUAAAGUAAUGCAUUCUUAUAGAACAGACAUGCUGAUUGAUACAAUGCAAUAUUUGCAAAAUCUAUCAUUUUCUGGGGAGAGCAACACUUUCUUUACUGAGGGUGAAAUUGCUUCAGGUAAGUGCUUGGGAGUUGACACUGUUGAAAAAGAGGACAAUGAUAAAGAUCCACUGAUUUGGGAUGAAUCUCCAAGUACCAAGUCACAGAAAACAGUAACAGAUUCUGAGGUAUCAUCCCUAAAGUCCUUGAGAACCAAGGAGCAAAAUGUGCUGGAUCCCCAAGGCCAAAGACCAGCAGGCCAUUCCUAUCUUUUUGGUUCAGAAUUUGUGUCUGUAGAUGCUCAUGGAAAGGUCAUAAUUUUGUCUGUCCCAGUGCUUCCAUUAAAAGAGGCAUCACAAACUAAUUGUACAAGUCCUAGCGCAACUGUGCUGCUAAAUUGCUUGAAGCCAAAUUCUUGCCAUUUGAAAAAUCCAGGUAAAAAUUAUGAGGAACAGACUGUACAAGGCAAGUCUAGUCAAGACAUAAUAACAUCUUGGGUUCAGUGUGAAACAAGUGUGGCUUUGGCAAUGUCUAAGUCUAAUCUCCAGCAGGAGACAACACUGGAUCAGGUUGAAAAAUUUCCUGAGACUUCAGUAUUGAAGAAAAUCAUUUCAAACGAAGGAGAUUGUGUUGGUGAAGCACUCAAUUGCUUGGAAAUCAAGGUGCCGUCUUUGCAUGCUGAUGAAUAUGACAACAGUAAUGAACUGAGUCCCAGGCUAACCAAUAUGAUCCAAAGUGGUUUUGUUCCGGAAUCUCCAAUAGAUAUUGGACUGUUGAAUGGCAAAGGAAGGAAUGAGUUUUUGGCUACAGAUGUAUCACCCAUGAAAUUGUGUGCUGAACUACUGUCAAAGUCUCAGAGUCCAAGAAAAAAUGAUAUUGCUAUCAGCAGUAGUUCCUGUCAAAGAGAUGUCUCCAUAUCUUCUAUUAAUAAUGAAUUUCAUACUCCUAUACUUAAGGAGAACAAUGUUGUCAGAACAGAUGGAUGUACCUCAAUUUCCCCAGCUGCUGAAGAAACCAAUACUCCCUUGGCAAAUCUCACCAAAAAUAGCUUGAGCAAAGAUUGGCUUCCGAGUUCUGGAGACAAAUCGGAAAAUGUUGAACAAGCGCGCAAGUUCAAGAGAUUGCGGAAAAUUGGAGAUGUUGACAGAAAUAGGAAUCCAGAAGGCAACAAAGAUAAAUCUUUAGCGCCAAUUGCAAACCUUGGUAGAUCCUUUUCUGAUAUCAGUCCUAACCAAAUAAAGUACUGUAAAGGUAACUCAAAUCCACUUAUAGCUGGUCCAUUGUUGCACCCAAAACUUUUUAAUUGCUAACCAAUUUCAUUCUCACUUCUGCUUGAAUUAAGCCACUUGUAAAUGCAAUAUAGGGGUAUGGCAUGCGUUAUAUUUAGGAAACGAACUUCAAACUACUAUCAGUAAUAUAGUACCGCUUGUGUUCAGGUAAAAGGAAGCUAACUGGCAAUGCCAGGACCUUCAUUGAGGAGGAAGCUGAGGUAUCUUCUGAAGCUGAAAUGUCUGACGAUGAGAAAGAUGACUCAGGCAACAGUUCAUAUGAUGAUAGUUUCAUAGAUGACAGGACAAAUCCCACAGCAGCAAGUAUUCAAGCUGAAACUAGUAGAGUUGACAUGAUGGCAGUUUACAGGCGUUCUUUGCUCACCCAAUCACCAAUUGAGAGGGAAUCAAAUUCAUACAUCACUAGUACUCCUGAUUGUGGGAAUUCCGUGAGCAGAAGGAACGAAAGCAAAAGCUCCUCAGUCAAGACAUUAUGUUCUUUCCAGACCCCUCAACCUGAUUCUGCAAAUGACUCUGCCAGGAGAGAUACAGAUUCCUUUCGCACUACUGAGAGGAUGUCAGCAGCAAUGCCUAGUAUAACCGGUCAUUCUGUGAAUGAAAAUGAGAGACAGCUGGAAUCUAGGAAAAGGAAAUUGAGUUUUUGUCAGCCUGGAUCUAUUCCAGUAAUCAAUCUAGAGCAAAAAUUCUGUUUGCAGUCAGAUGCUGGCAGAAAAGAAACAUUCCAGCAGGGUCCUGCUGAAAAUUUAGAUGCUAAUGCGGAAGUUUUUCAUGAUGAUCAAUUCUUUGAAGAUCUUGAUCUUGAUGCUGUGGAGGCACAAGCUACCUUGCUUCUCAAACAUAGAUCCAAGUUAUCAGUACAAAAGCAGGAUGUAGCUCCAAAAUCCGAUGCACAAAAUUUUGACCUUCAGAGUUCUCCAUCAUUUGAUCUUGGGAUAUGGUAAUUUAGAGGUAAAUCUUUAUAAUUCCCUCCCUCAAGCAUCUUUCUGAAGAAUCCCUUCAAGCAAAAUGCAGAGAAUGCACAGUAGCACAGUGUUCUGAGAAUUCUAGCAAGUUUUUUUGGAGGCAAAUAGAAUUGAUACAGUACAAACCAAUGUAAUUUAUAUAAUAGAUUAUUUAACAGUGCAGAGACAAAAAAAAAAAGAAAGAAAAAGAUUAUGUAGAGCUCCAUGUAUAGAAGGAUAGGCCAUCAUCCAUUGUAUAGAAACAUUACACCAGAAAUACCAUGUUCAUAAAAAAAAUGGAGGCAAAAUAGCUGCAGAGGUCAAAUUCUAAGAUAACUCAUCAUUUUGUCCGCACGUUAGUGUGGAUUAUUUAUUAUUUUAUUUUAAUAAUAUAAUUUAAUAUGUAUUCUUUUAUGUUUUAUAUGAUUAUAAAAUUUAAUAAUUUAAAUUCUCAUAUUAUAAUCAUAUAUGUCUGCUGUUUCUUAUGUUUUAUCUAGUUUUUCUAAUAAGGCCGUACCUCUGUCUUGGGGAGCAGGGAACAAUAUGGACAUGGUCAUAAGAUGAAUUCAUCUUCAUUCUCAAGGUCUAUUCUACAUAUGACCCAUUUCAUCACAAUAGGCCUAUGUUCAUAGCAUGAACACGAGAAAUCAACCUGUUGAUGAGGCAUUAAAAAUACAAUCAAUGAAGAAGAGGUGGCUUCAAAAUUCUGCACUACACUAAGAAACUCUACACUCCCAUUGUCAUGUUGAAGAGUUUGAUGCCUUUCAAAAACCCUUAAUACAAAAGAGUUCUAGAAUCAAGAUAAGCAGGACUAUAUUACAUGUUUAUAUAGACAGAUAAUUAAGAAUCAAAAGUUAAUUUCCUAUUCUUCUACACCACUCUAGAAUUCUCAAAAGUUUCAAUCUCAUGUGAAUUUCUUUCUGGACGUAGGUGCUUCAGAAAUCAGAAAU